rnacentral:lncRNA from 1 species
AGCAUAUUUUUUAUAUUGAUCAUAUUUUCUGACUUAGAUCAUUUCUACAGAUGUUCUCGUGAACUUUCCAAAGUGCAUGGUCUUCUUUGGAAGACUUGAGACACUAGGUAGUGACAAUGAAUGAGACUUUUUGUAUAGUUUUCCAUCAGGAGCACAUAUCAAGGAGCCUGAGCUUCCUUCUCCUUGCCUCAAUAGAAUUAGUUGGAAGCAGGAUUUUCAAAAUCAUACCAAACCACCCGAUACAUCCUGUAUCGAGUUAGACCGAUGGGGAAUCGGGAUGGCUCGGACAUCUAAAUUAGUUCUCGGGGGGAUGGAGAAGAAAGAGAAGAAGAGAGAGAGAUUGGAGGAGAGAA